AUUGAACGCUGGCGGCAGGCCUAACACAUGCAAGUCGAAGGGAGUGGCGAACGGGUGAGUAACACGUGAGUAACCUGCCCUUUUCUUUGGGAUAAGCCUGGGAAACUGGGUCUAAUACUGGAUGGAUUGGGAUGGGCUCGCGGGUUCUGAGCUGGUGGGUGGGGUGAUGGCUGACCAAGGCUUUGACGGGUAGCCGGCCUGAGAGGGUGGUCGGCCAAACUGGAACUGAGACACGGUCCAGACUCCUACGGGAGGCAGCAGUGGGGAAUAUUGCACAAUGGGCGCAAGCCUGAUGCAGCCAUGCCGCGGGUAUGAAGAAGGCUUUCGGGUUGUAAAGUACUUUCAGCGGGGAGGCGUUACCCGCAGAAGAAGCACCGGCUAACUCCGUGCCAGCAGCCGCGGUAAUUC
rnacentral:rRNA from 1 species